rnacentral:rRNA from 1 species
CCCAGACAGCCAGGAUGUUGGCUUAGAAGCAGCCAUCAUUUAAAGAAAGCGUAAUAGCUCACUGGUCGAGUCGGCCUGCGCGGAAGAUGUAACGGGGCUAAACCAUGCACCGAAGCUGCGGCAGCGAACGUAUCACCCAAGACAACUUUACGGAGUUGACGAUUGAUGGAGCGAAGCGACGUCAAAGCGUUCAUUAAAGUCGAGUUGGCUUAGGGAUACGUUCGUUGGGUAGGGGAGCGUUCUGUAAGCCUGUGAAGGUGGCCUGUGAGGGUUGCUGGAGGUAUCAGAAGUGCGAAUGCUGACAUAAGUAACGAUAAAGCGGGUGAAAAGCCCGCUCGCCGGAAGACCAA